rnacentral:rRNA from 1 species
UACGUAGGGUGCAAGCGUUGUCCGGAAUUAUUGGGCGUAAAGAGCUCGUAGGCGGUCUGUUGCGUCGGCUGUGAAAACCCGGGGCUCAACUCCGGGCCUGCAGCCGAUACGGGCAGACUAGAGUUCGGCAGGGGAGACUGGAAUUCCUGGUGUAGCGGUGAAAUGCGCAGAUAUCAGGAGGAACACCGGUGGCGAAGGCGGGUCUCUGGGCCGAUACUGACGCUGCGGAGCGAAAGCGUGGGGAGCGAACAGG